rnacentral:rRNA from 1 species
CAGUCGCCGCGGGAAUACGGAGGGUGCAAGCGUUAAUCGGAAUUACUGGGCGUAAAGCGCGCGUAGGUGGUUUGGUAAGAUGGAUGUGAAAUCCCCGGGCUCAACCUGGGAACUGCAUCCAUAACUGCCUGACUAGAGUACGGUAGAGGGUGGUGGAAUUUCCUGUGUAGCGGUGAAAUGCGUAGAUAUAGGAAGGAACACCAGUGGCGAAGGCGACCACCUGGACUGAUACUGACACUGAGGUGCGAAAGCGUGGGGAGCAAACAGGAUUAGAUACCCCAGUAGUCCCUGUCUCUUAUAC